AGUGAACGCUGGCGGUAGGCCUAACACAUGCAAGUCGAACGGCAGCACAGUAAGGGCUUGCUCUUACGGGUGGCGAGUGGCGGACGGGUGAGGAAUACAUCGGAAUCUACUUUUUCGUGGGGGAUAACGUAGGGAAACUUACGCUAAUACCGCAUACGACCUACGGGUGAAAGCAGGGGAUCUUCGGACCUUGCGCGAUUGAAUGAGCCGAUGUCGGAUUAGCUAGUUGGCGGGGUAAAGGCCCACCAAGGCGACGAUCCGUGGCUGGUCUGAGAGGAUGAUCAGCCACACUGGAACUGAGACACGGUCCAGACUCCUACGGGAGGCAGCAGUGGGGAAUAUUGGACAAUGGGCGCAAGCCUGAUCCAGCCAUACCGCGUGGGUGAAGAAGGCCUUCGGGUUGUAAAGCCCUUUUGUUGGGAAAGAAAAGCAGCAGGUUAAUACCCCGCUGUUCUGACGGUACCCAAAGAAUAAGCACCGGCUAACUUCGUG
rnacentral:rRNA from 1 species